UAUUUUCAAAGUGCCUAAUCC
rnacentral:siRNA from 1 species